rnacentral:rRNA from 1 species
CGAAAGUAGCCCUGUCUCCUUAUAGCCCUUAAAAACUUAUCUCUAGGUGAAAACCCCUAGAUAAAUUUAAAAGACAAAAAGACCCUGUAGAGCCUUACUUAACAAUAUUUUUGUGACCUCUUAACCCACUCGUCAACAAAUAUUUAAAGUCUAGAUGGGGCAUCUGAGGCCUAUCAAAACCGCCCUUCUUCUUAAAACAAUACACCUAUUCCGAUCCUUAAUCCAAAGACCAAAGAAACAGGUUACCUCAGGGAUAACAGACUAAUCUUCCUUGCAAGCCCGUAUUAACAGGAAGGCUUGGCACCUCGAUGUUGGCUUAGGAA